AGCUCCAAUAGCGUAUAUUAAAGUUGUUGUGGUUAAAAAGCUCGUAGUUGGAUCUCGGCGGUCUGAGGGCGGUCAGAGGUCUCGGGGUGCUCUUAACCGAGUGUCCUGCGAUGCUGGCAGGUUUACUUUGAAAAAAUUAGAGUGCUCAAAGCAGGCUUUUACGCCUGAAUAUUCGUGCAUGGAAUAAUAGAAUAGGAAGUCGUUUCUAUUUUGUUGGUUUUCGGAAAUCGACUUAAUGAUUAACAGGGACAGUCGGGGGCAUUUGUAUUCAAACGACAGAGGUGAAAUUCUUGGACCGUUUGAAGACAAACUACUGCGAAAGCAUUUGCCAAGAAUGUUUUCA
rnacentral:rRNA from 1 species